GAUGAACGCUGGCGGCGUGCCUAAUACAUGCAAGUCGAGCGAACAGACGAGGAGCUUGCUCCUCUGACGUUAGCGGCGGACGGGUGAGUAACACGUGGAUAACCUACCUAUAAGACUGGGAUAACUUCGGGAAACCGGACCUAAUACCGGAUAAUAUAUUGAACCGCAUGGUUCAAUAGUGAAAGACGGUUUUGCUGUCACUUAUAGAUGGAUCCGCGCCGCAUUAGCUAGUUGGUAAGGUAACGGCUUACCAAGGCAACGAUGCGUAGCCGACCUGAGAGGGUGAUCGGCCACACUGGAACUGAGACACGGUCCAGACUCCUACGGGAGGCAGCAGUAGGGAAUCUUGCGCAAUGGGCGAAAGCCUGACGGAGCAACGCCGCGUGGGUGAUGAAGGUCUUCGGAUCGUAAAACUCUGUUAUUAGGGAAGAACAAAUGUGUAAGUAACUAUGCACGUCUUGACGGUACCUAAUCAGAAAGCCACGGCUAACUACGUG
rnacentral:rRNA from 1 species